ACAUUCUGAAUAUCGUUUUUUCUUCUUUCUGCCGAAGAUCAUUUGGAUGAACUUGAACUGAGCUUGCUUGUUUUGCAGAGGGAUGAAGAUGAACAGAAAUUAGUUCCUGUUUGGACAUGCCACACCUGAACCAGAACUACUUGCUUUUCAAAAAAUUACCUUUCCAAGUUCUGGACAUCUAGAGUAUGAGUAUACAUGGAGAGUUAGAAGGGGAAGAAAAAAUGGAUUUGAGCAGAAUCAGAAUUGUAGAGUUGGAAAGGAGCCCCAAGUUUCAUCUAGUCCAGCCUCCUGCAAUGCAGAAAUCUCAACUAAAGCAUCCCUGACAGAUGGCCAUCCAACCUCUGCUUAAAAACCUCCAAGGAAGGAGAAUCCACCAGCCCCCAAGAUUUAGAAGAAACAAGGAGACAUUUGUUCAAUCUCUUCGCCCAGCUGUGAGUCGUAAAGAGCCUCUCCCUGCAAGGCCCUUUCCAUCUGGCUUAGCGAGUGGGGCUCAGACUCACCAGCUCUACUAAAGAGGCUCCUGUGAGACCAGAGGGACAUCACUAUGCCUGACAACAACUAUUGGAUUCUUUUGCCCCAUCUUUUUGUGCCUGCCUAACAGCCGUGUCAUGCUUAUAAUAUUUUAUUCUCUUGUUAAUUAUGCUGUUUUAAAUGUGCAUUUUAUAUUUGACUUUCCUUAGCAAUGCUUUCUUUUGAAAUGUUUAAGUUUUUUUUUGUUAACUUUGUUUGUGUUAAAUAUGUAUUCUGUAGUUGACCUCCUUUGUAGUUUUAUUUUGAAAGCUUCAAGAUAUUUUAGUUUUCUGUUAAUUAUGUUGCUUUGACUGUAUACUCUAACUUUUACUUUCCUCAGAUUGUUUUAUUGAUGUUUUAAUAUUCUGUAAACCGCUUUGAGUUUUUUCUUAAAAAUAUUAAGUGGUAUAGAAAUGAAACAAACAAACAAACAAACAAACAAACAAACAGGCUUUUAUAAAGCCAGUACAUGC